GACGAACGCUGGCGGCGUGCCUAAUACAUGCAAGUCGAGCGAACAGACGAGGAGCUUGCUUCGCUGACGUUAGAGGCGGACGGGUGAGUAACACGUGGAUAACCUACCUAUAAGACUGGGAUAACGUCGGGAAACCGGAGCUAAUACCGGAUAAUAUAUUGAACCGCAUUGUUCAAUAGUGAAAGACGGUUUUGCUGUCACUUAUAGAUGGAUCCGCGCCGCAUUAGCUAGUUGGUAAGGUAACGGCUUACCAAGGCAACGAUGCGUAGCCUACCUGAGAGGGUGAUCGGCCCACCUGGAACGGGACCACGCUCCAGCCUCCUACGGGAGGCACCGGAAGGAAAUCUUCGGCAUUGGGGGAAAGCCUGCCGGAGCACGGCGGCGUGGGUGAUAAAGGUCUUCGGAUCGUAAAACUCUGUUUUUGGGGAAGAACAGAUGUGUAAGUAACUAUGCACGUCUUGACGGUACCUAAUCAGAAAGCCACGGCUAACUACGUG
rnacentral:rRNA from 1 species